rnacentral:rRNA from 1 species
UACGUAGGUGGCGAGCGUUAUCCGGAAUUACUGGGUGUAAAGGGUGUGUAGGCGGGACAGCAAGUCAGGCGUGAAAACUAUGGGCUUAACUCAUAGCCUGCGUUUGAAACUGUUGUUCUUGAGAGUCGGAGAGGUAAAUGGAAUUCCCAGUGUAGCGGUGAAAUGCGUAGAUAUUGGGAGGAACACCAGUGGCGAAGGCGAUUUACUGGACGACAACUGACGCUGAUACACGAAAGCGUGGGGAG